rnacentral:sRNA from 2 species
GCCGCCGGUACGCCGAAUCCCGUCGCCGGCAGCGGGAUGUCUACAGCGAACAAUCCGACGGGAGCGGGGGAACCAGGUGAAUCGCCGUGGCCGGGAUCGUUCCGGUGACGGCUAGGGGUGAAGUCGCGUGAAGCGACCGGGCUGCUCCAGUCCGAAUCCGACAGCUCACCUCGUAGGCGACAGGAGAGGACCC